rnacentral:rRNA from 1 species
UACAGAGGGUGCAAGCGUUGUUCGGAAUUACUGGGCGUAAAGCGCGUGUAGGCUGCGAUGUAAGUCAGGUGUGAAAGCCCUCAGCUUAACUGAGGAAGUGCACUUGAUGCUGUGUCGCUUGAGUGUCGGAGGGGGUGGCGGAAUUCCCGGUGUAGAGGUGAAAUUCGUAGAUAUCGGGAGGAACACCUGUGGCGAAGGCGGCUUUCUGGACGGUAACUGACGCUGAGACGCGAAAGCGUGGGAGCAAACAGG